CCUACGGGUGGCAGCAGUGGGGAAUAUUGCACAAUGGGCGCAAGCCUGAUGCAGCCAUGCCGCGUGUGUGAAGAAGGCCUUCGGGUUGUAAAGCACUUUCAGCGGGGAGGAAGGCGGUGAGGUUAAUAACCUCAUCGAUUGACGUUACCCGCGGAAGAAGCACCGGCUAACUCCGUGCCAGCAGCCGCGGUAAUACGGAGGGUGCAAGCGUUAAUCGGAAUUACUGGGCGUAAAGCGCACGCAGGCGGUCUGUCAAGUCGGAUGCGAAAUCCCCGGGCUCAACCUGGGAACUGCAUUCGAAACUGGCAGGCUAAAGUCUUGUAGAGGGGGGUAGAAUUCCAGGUGUAGCGGUGAAAUGCGUAGAGAUCUGGAGGAAUACCGGUGGCGAAGGCGGCCCCCUGGACAAAGACUGACGCUCAGGUGCGAAAGCGUGGGGAGCAAACAGGAUUAGAUACCCGAGUAGUC
rnacentral:rRNA from 1 species